GAUGAACGCUGGCGGCGUGCCUAAUACAUGCAAGUCGAGCGAACGGACGAGAAGCUUGCUUCUCUGAUGUUAGCGGCGGACGGGUGAGUAACACGUGGAUAACCUACCUAUAAGACUGGGAUAACUUCGGGAAACCGGAGCUAAUACCGGAUAAUAUUUUGAACCGCAUGGUUCAAAAGUGAAAGACGGUCUUUCUGUCACUUAUAGAUGGAUCCGCGCUGCAUUAGCUAGUUGGUAAGGUAACGGCUUACCAAGGCAACGAUGCAUAGCCGACCUGAGAGGGUGAUCGGCCACACUGGAACUGAGACACGGUCCAGACUCCUACGGGAGGCAGCAGUAGGGAAUCUUCCGCAAUGGGCGAAAGCCUGACGGAGCAACGCCGCGUGAGUGAUGAAGGUCUUCGGAUCGUAAAACUCUGUUAUUAGGGAAGAACAUAUGUGUAAGUAACUGUGCACAUCUUGUCGGUACCUAAUCAGAAAGCCACGGCUAACUACGUG
rnacentral:rRNA from 1 species